ACGGGAGGCAGCAGUGGGGAAUAUUGCACAAUGGGCGGAAGCCUGAUGCAGCGACGCCGCGUGGGGGAUGACGGUCUUCGGAUUGUAAACCCCUUUCAGUAGGGACGAAGCGCAAGUGACGGUACCUGCAGAAGAAGCACCGGCCAACUACGUGCCAGCAGCCGCGGUAAUACGUAGGGUGCGAGCGUUGUCCGGAAUUACUGGGCGUAAAGAGCUCGUAGGCGGUUUGUCACGUCGUCUGUGAAAUCCUCCAGCUUAACUGGGGGCGUGCAGGCGAUACGGGCAGACUUGAGUACUACAGGGGAGACUGGAAUUCCUGGUGUAGCGGUGAAAUGCGCAGAUAUCAGGAGGAACACCGGUGGCGAAGGCGGGUCUCUGGGUAGUAACUGACGCUGAGGAGCGAAAGCAUGGGUAGCGAACAGGAUUAGAUACCCUGGUA
rnacentral:rRNA from 1 species